rnacentral:rRNA from 1 species
UAGAGUUUUGAUCAUGGCUCAGAUUGAACGCUGGCGGCAGGCUUAACACAUGCAAGUCGAGCGGUAGCACAGGGGAGCUUGCUCCCUGGGUGACGAGCGGCGGACGGGUGAGUAAUGUCUGGGAAACUGCCUGAUGGAGGGGGAUAACUACUGGAAACGGUAGCUAAUACCGCAUAACGUCGCAAGACCAAAGAGGGGGACCUUCGGGCCUCUUGCCAUCAGAUGUGCCCAGAUGGGAUUAGCUAGUAGGUGGGGUAAUGGCUCACCUAGGCGACGAUCCCUAGCUGGUCUGAGAGGAUGACCAGCCACACUGGAACUGAGACACGGUCCAGACUCCUACGGGAGGCAGCAGUGGGGAAUAUUGCACAAUGGGCGCAAGCCUGAUGCAGCCAUGCCGCGUGUGUGAAGAAGGCCUUCGGGUUGUAAAGCACUUUCAGCGAGGAGGAAGGUGGUGAGCUUAAUACGCUCAUCAAUUGACGUUACUCGCAGAAGAAGCACCGGCUAACUCCGUGCCAGCAGCCGCGGUAAUACGGAGGGUGCAAGCGUUAAUCGGAAUUACUGGGCGUAAAGCGCACGCAGGCGGUUUGUUAAGUCAGAUGUGAAAUCCCCGGGCUCAACCUGGGAACUGCAUUUGAAACUGGCAAGCUAGAGUCUCGUAGAGGGGGGUAGAAUUCCAGGUGUAGCGGUGAAAUGCGUAGAGAUCUGGAGGAAUACCGGUGGCGAAGGCGGCCCCCUGGACGAAGACUGACGCUCAGGUGCGAAAGC